UACGUAGGGGGCAAGCGUUAUCCGGAUUUACUGGGUGUAAAGGGAGCGCAGACGGCAGUGCAAGUCUGGAGUGAAAGCCCGGGGCCCAACCCCGGAACUGCUCUGGAAACUGUGCGGCUAGAGUACUGGAGGGGCAGGCGGAAUUCCUAGUGUAGCGGUGAAAUGCGUAGAUAUUAGGAGGAACACCGGUGGCGAAGGCGGCCUGCUGGACAGUAACUGACGUUGAGGCUCGAAAGCGUGGGGAGCAAACAGG
rnacentral:rRNA from 1 species